rfam:Freshwater sediment metagenome lwMethane_BCGO34298_y1, whole genome shotgun sequence.
CAGCAGGAGUAAGUCCUGCCGGGGUAAUAGUCAAAGCCCCGUAGCUUGGAUAGCAGGGUGGCGGGAAACCAAGACCUUGAAGCCUAUCGACAAGUGUUUCCUUGGGAAAUGCGCGAGUCAGCGGGCCGUAACGAAA